rnacentral:rRNA from 1 species
AGAGUGAACGCUGGCGGCAGGCCUAACACAUGCAAGUCGAACGGCAGCACAGGGGAGCUUGCUCCCUGGGUGGCGAGUGGCGGACGGGUGAGGAAUGCGUCGGAAUCUGCCUUUUCGUGGGGGAUAACGUAGGGAAACUUACGCUAAUACCGCAUGCGACCCUGGUUCGGGAGGAUCGAGGGUGAAAGCGGGGGACCUUCGGGCCUCGCGCGGAAAGAUGAGCCGACGCCGGAUUAGCUAGUGGCGGGUAACGCCACCAAGGCGACGAUCCGUAGCUGGUCUGAGAGGAUGAUCAGCCACACUGGAACUGAGACACGGUCCAGACUCCGUACGGGAGGCAGCAGGUGGGAAUAGUGGACAAGUGGGACGACAAGCCUGACUCCAGCCAUCGGCCGCGUGA